UGGGAAAAUAAGAGUUGGUGGACACGGAUGUAAAGGCAGCCUGAGGAGGAUCCAGAUCAUCGCUCAACAGGAACAAGGGAGAAACAUCCUAUCCUACAAUCCAGGCAAUGGCAGCAGAAUCACAAAUGUAUCCUUGAGUUGCUAUUCAAUGCAAAGAGUGGGUGUGAAAACAACAAAUAUUUUAAAAGUUCUUCAGAAGCGUCUACUCCAGGGGCGCCGCUGGCCCUGCAGUCUGAGUGCGUACCACAUACACUGAGCUUAUGCCUCAAGCAGUCAGCCCAAGUUCGCUUCAAAGUAGAAUAACCGGAAUGAGAACAGCAAUGCCAACAUAAUUACUCCUGCAGAAAUCCUGUUCACCUUAUUAAAUCACUUUGCAAUGGAAAUGUUUACUUGAAUAUGAAUCAUAAUUAAUAAGCAGGCUCAUAUUUUAACUUGACCCUUAGUUCAUGCCUUUAUACACACCAUACACACAAGUGGAAAUGAGGCGUUAUUUGUCCUGUACAAAGGCUCUGGGACCGCUUCACUUCACCACCCAGGUCUACUCUAAACAGCACACCUACCAGCUCACUGUACAUCAACCCCCCACCUCCCAACAGACACACAUGAUCGGUGUUUUCACAGGCCGUAAAAAAAACUCAAAUUGCUUUCUUGUAAAGUAGUCUGUAUGGAGCCUUUUGUCCACAUUUCAUGGCCACUUCAGGUUCACUGACAUAGUUCAAAGGUUGAGGAGUGAGGAGAGAGAUAAAUACCUCUCAAAGCCAUUCACACCGCUCCUUUAAUCUACAAAGAAAACAAGAAAAAAGAACAAGAAAAUCACACAGUUGGAAGAUGAUACAUCUACCACUUUGAUAUGGUUGAGCUUCUGUUACCUUUUACCAACUUUUUAUCACCCAGCCUGAGAUUCUUUGACAACUUCAUGGCGUUGUAUUUUAUUCUUUGACAUGACGAAUGACUAAACUGGUCCAUCCAUCUCCUCAGUCAUUACAACAGAAAUCCGGCUGUCCAAAAGGCUCGGCUAAUCUGUGGGCGUUCUAGUAAGGGGAUCACAUCUAUCAUGUUACACACCUGUGCUGCUGUUCUUCACUACAGAGGCAAGGUCAAGUUUCGCACACACACACACACACACACACACACACACACACACACACACACACACACACACACACACACACACACACACACACACACACACACACACACACACACACACGCAUACAUGGUUGGCUUCAAGCAACUGGUGUUAUAAAACUCUCAACCCAAUAAACUGCAAGGUCCCAAGAGCUAAAAGGACACAGCAUUUAAGACUAAGCAUUCAAAACAUUUGUGCAGUAGUUUGUUGAUCAUUAAAUGGCAAAAAUGCCAAGAUCUCAUCUCAUAUGAUUCACACAGUGUAGAUGUCAUCUUCCUGUCACUUUGACUUCAACACUAAUGCUGCGUUCGAGUUACCUCCGAAGUCAGAUGUCAGAGCUGGGAAUGAUGUCACAUCCAAGUUACCAGUGUUUCAGUUACCGAGUCGGAAAAAAGCAAAAUCAGAGGCGGAAACAAGAUGGCUACAUCUACGAAAGUUAUUUAAGCGCUUAUCUUGUCCUUGCUUAUAUUCAGGCAAGGGCUAAAAUAACUUGUGUAGAUGUAGCCAUCUUGUUUCCGCCUCUGAUUUUGCUUUCUUCCGACCUGGCUGGUAACUCGGGUGUGACAUCAUUCCCAGCUCGGACUUCUGACUUCCAAGGUAACUCGAACACAGCACGAGAACUGUAUUUUUAAUUUCAGUAAUACAAGAAAAAUGUGUGUUUUAAGCCAUGAUAGCAGUCUGGGUUUGGGUUGACUGGUUUAAUAAUUAUGCAAGCUUGUUUGACACCAGAUACUACUUUAAAGACUGAAGUCUGACCCCACAUAAAAAAGCCCAGACAGACAAACACAGAGGUUUGAAGCUGAUUAAAGAGGGUUAAAAGGUUUUAUUUUAUAAGGAUAUGAAGAGGUAAAUAAGACAAAGCUGGGAUAGCUGGGAUCAUGUUAAAUGGACACAUUACAUUAAACUAUCAAGGAAACAUGAGCGCAACCAAAUACCAAACAAAGACACACUCUUUGUGUAUUAUCUUAAAAUAUGUCAGAAUAAUAAAUGACAUCAUAUUAGCAUAGCAGUGUUGUUGCGGUCAAAGCACAGCUGCUUAAAUUUGUCAUGGGCCUCAAGACAUCUAAUAUUAAGAGAAAAAACUUCAUCAUGCUCUCGAUGAUGAUGUUCAAAUAACGCACAGAUAAUGUUUGAAAGUAGUUUAAAAUUCCUAAUCAUACACGGAUUAAUCCUGCAUAGAUAAGCUCUGUAUCGUAGUUGACACACAUUGUACGUUCAGAAGUAUCUAGAGUGCCUCUCGGUCUGCUUUUGUCCUAGAUCACUGUGUGAUUUUAAAUGCACUGCUUUUAAUUGAAAAGAAACAGGUGAUUUGAUCAAUCAAGGUUGAUGCCAGGCUGACACCACCGCCUGAAAAUGUAUUCCGCCCAUUUCCAUCUGCACCACUCACACAAAACACGCCUCUGGCAGUCGGCUUAAAAGUCAGACACUGUGCCCUUGUGCUGUGUGCCUUUGACUGAAACUGAGCCAAGCACCAUUAGUUCACAUGAAUAAAAGCCUCUGAGACUUCAGUUUGAAAGAUUUAUGUCACAAAACUAAAUUGAUACAACCACAUGUGUAUUAUUCUCUGUAGCAAUAUUAUAGAAUUUAAAGUCGGAGUGUAAAAAAAUCUACCCUGAGAUUUUAUCUACCUUAUGUCAAAUGUGGAAGACCCAGCAGCCUUUGCUGUUCAACCCAAGUACUGUGGGUCAUUGGUGUCCUGACACAAACCGGCCAAGCAGAUGGUCAUUUGUUAAAAUAAAUUACCCACCAUGCAUUUCCCUGAUGGGGAUCGCCUGAAUAGGAGAGAGAACAUUUGUGAUGCAAGAGGUAUGCCGUUCGGCUCAUGAGGUUGUUUAAAAUCCUCAACGGAGACGACUACUAGUGCUACUUUUGAGGUCAAACUGUGACUCAGAUUCUUCUCAUUACUCACAAUUUGUGAAAUGACAAUCAUUAAUUAUAUCCUUAAAUUUAUAUUUCUUUCUGUUUUUACUAAUUUGACCAGGAGUAUGUUCAGACUUUUUGAUGAGAGAGGUAUAACUCGGGCACUGACAUAGGCAGUGCCUCACAUAUAAAUUAACUGCAUUUGCCCUCUAGGUCUUCAUUGCCUACUUUAUUAUGUGCAUAUCACACAGCUGUUCAGCUGUUCCUUGUCCCUAACAAGGCAAAUAGCCAUUGAUAGCAUUGGUUAUUUGGAUUUUGGGGCCAGUGCCACCCUUUGCCAUCCCUGUUGAUAUGCUCCUGAAUAUCAUAAUUAAAAAACUUCUCUGUGGCCACAGAUUUUCCUGGUGUGCAAAAUCUCUGCCACAAUCAAUAGACAUGGAUUUCUGAUCAACCACCAUUGUUCGACAACACAAACAUGCGCACGGACGCAUUCCGUUCACAUUAGAUGCCGCAUUCGUUUUUGUAAUGUGAACGACCGCACAAAAAGAUUUAACCAAAAAAUCUGAAUUGUGCAUCAUAACCUGCAGUGUGAACGUAGCAAAAGUUGGCUAAAUGAAUCGUACCAUGACAACAAAAACUGAAAAUCUCUGUAUAAUGCUCAUUUAAAUAUCAUAUUUUCAUUUGGCAUUGAUGAUGGUAUGCAUUAGGUCCUGACUUCACAGAAAAUGGCCAUCUUUGCUAAUGAUAAACACUAUAAAGCCUUGUGCUGGAAAAGGACACUUUUGGUACUUCAAGCUGACUAUAAACUUACCCAACAGUUUAUUUAUUUAUUUACUUGUUAGUUUGUUUUUUCAUCAUACUUGAAUCAGUAAGGGGCUUGCCAUACAAAACUUAAUGUCAGUUUGCACUUUUACUUUCAUUUAACUACAUACAUGUGACUUCAAUAUGUUAUUCGCAUCCGACCUUAUUCUCUGAUCUGUGAAAACAAAAACUUUGUAUAUCAGCACCAUGUGUAAGAACAGCAGAGGCUCACAUAAAAACUUCUAAGAAACUAAAUAAAACUACAUACAAGCUGUACACAGCCAGUACGGCUCAGGUUAUACGACACUUUGGAGACCAUCCUUAUUGCUGCUGAGCCCAUAUGUCUGGAUCUUGACUGCUGAUAGCUGACAUUUCAUGCCAGUAAAGCACUCCAUUUUGAUCUUUGAAAAGUAAUGCUGUUUUACUUGACUUUACUUUUAAUUCCAACUUUCAAAGAUGUGGUCACAACACAAAAUAACAGACUGGACUCAAAACAUAAGUAUUUAGUCAGUCAGUUGCAUUUUGCCCUUACAAAGCAAAAGUGGGUCUAUACUACUUCAUAUCUACGCUCUGAAUGACGUCUGAAAUCACAUCUUAAAGGGCUACAUUGCCAAAUUGGCCGUUUGUUGCCAAUAACAACAGGAUUAACCAAGGCACAAAAAUCCUUAACACCACAAUCAGUAUCCUGCAAAUGAAGUAUAUGUUGCAGUAGAUGAUGUCCUGCAUUCUGUUGUUCCUUUAACAGAUACUCGUACCUAAAGUUAGGCAUCACCUUUACAGCUGCCUCAAUCUCUAAUGUGUCCGACAGACUAAAGGCACAAAGCAAAAUCACCAACUUUUAAUGUAGAUGCUCUGAAAUGUAAGUUACACCUGUAAGUAUUUCCAUGGUUUGAAAACAGCAUAAUAUCUUUAUCAUUAUUUCCAUGGGGCAAAUUUAUAACAAAUGUUAUUAAAGGAUAGUUUACUGAAAGAAUCUUGUCAUAUUACUCACAGAGAGCCAAAAUAAACCUACCAGAAGUCAAGCAUAGUUUGGAGGCAGUGUAGGUUUCUGAUUUGGGUGCAUUGUAGAGGAAAGUAGAAAUGAUUUCUGACAAAAUGACAUUAUUCAGGGCAGAAAUUAGUGCUCUCUGAUGAAUGGAUUGGUGUACUUGCCACUACCCAUUCUUGCAUUAUCAAAGGUAACACUGAUAUCAUUAUUGGAACAAUUCUGAGGUGAAGAUUAUCAAACUAGCUAAGAAUUGUAAGAUAUUGGGAGGUCUGAAUUGAAAUCAUUGUGUUUAUGAGAGAAACUGACUCAAAAUUUUGUUUUUAUCUACAGGUAAUGAACUCUUAUUUCCCUAAGAUCACGAUUCAUUUGUGGUCUGUUGCAGUCUGUUUAAAGACCAUAACUACAAUACUGUUAUAAUAAUGAGCAUCUAUAAGAAUACAAGAGGCUACAGAGAAAUAAUAACUAAAGAAAACAAGAGGCUUUGCAUCGUCUAUCUGUGCCCAAAUCUGUAAGGUUUUACAUCUUCCUUAACAUUUGGCUUCCAAAACAACUGUUCAUAUAAGACAGAUCUCAGUUAUUACAUGCUCUGUAAUUCUAUAUAAAAGAAGCCUAUAGAAAUAGUUAUACUGCGUAGAUUUAUCACCAAGACAUACAUCCAUUAUGGGUUUGUAAAACACACAAUAUGUAACACACAAACAUUUUUCUUUUCAUAGUUGCUCUAAAGCUAUGUGAAGAUGCACAGAAAAUAACCGGCUCUGUGUAACACUCUUUGAACUCAACAGGAAAAAAUACCUGACAGGGAUUGUUGUGCUGUGGGGUGUUGAUCCAUGCAUUACCAUUCCCAGUGAAUUUCAAUAAAGUCUAAAUAUAGUUGUUUUUUUUCCUCAUUCCAAAUUUAGGUUAGUGGGACGCAGGAAAAUGUCUUGUCUUUAGCUGUAGUCCCUCAGGGUUUGUAGUCUCAACAUCAAAGCACUGCUAGCUGAAGCUUUAGAAGAGGAUACACAGUUUUCUUAAACACACACGCAAACACACACAAACCUUUUUCUUUCUUUCUUUGCUGAAGAAAUAACUAGCCAGCGGGCAAAAAGUAGCAAAGAAACCGUGAACGUUCAUUAUUAGAUAAUCUAAGAAUUGUUUUGAUAAUUUUACCUCAACUGUGUAUUCUCAUGUAAGUUUAACGAUUAUUCAACAAUUAUUUAUUAUUCCCUUGACUGACUCUAAAGCAACCCCCAUUCAGAACUGGUACUGCACUGCUCAUUUUGUGCAGAAGGCUAAGUGAGUUACACAAGCAUGGAAAAAUGUUGGGUUGGCUACUUCAAGCUCUUAAAACAUAUUUAUAUUAGCCUUUCAAAUAUGACUUAUUAGAAUUAUUUUUGCCUUUGACAAUUGAAACUGACCCCCAGACUUAACACAAAAGGAAAAAUAAUUUUAAUAAGUCAUAUUUGAAAGGCUAAUAUAAAUAUGCUUUAAGAGCUUAAAGUUGCCAACCCAACAUUUUUCUAUGCUUGUGUAACUCACUUACCCUUCUGCUCAAAAUGAGCAGCGCAGUACCAGUUCUGAAUGGGGGUUGUUUUAGAUUCAGUAAAGGGAAUAAUAAAUAAUUGUUGAAUAAUCAAUAAACUUACAUGAGAAUACAUGGUUGGAUUGGCAACUUUAGGCUCUUAAAGCAUACUUAUAUUAGCCUUUUAAAUAUGACUUACUAAAAUUAUUUUUUUCUUUGACAAUUGAAACUGACCCUGAGACUUCACACAGAAGAUAAAAAAAUGCAAUUUUAUUAUGAACACAACAACAAAGUUUUAAGGGAACUUUUUUAUUUGACUUUUAAAAAAAGUUAUUUUGUCAUGAAAAUUCCCCUAAUCUCAUAGAAUUUCUGGAGGAAAUGUAGAAGAAACCACAUAAUCAUGGUACACAUGACAAGAGAAGAUAGAGUAGAUACAGUUAGUCCAAAUGCUUAUGCUAACAAGGUGUCACUGCUGACAUUAUAGACAAAAACGCACAAGAUGCAUGUUUGGCGCAUUUGGUCACGGUUGCAUUCCAGCUCUGUUGGGCAAGUUACAUCGUCGCCUACUAGAGGCAUCUGAUAUGGAUUUUGGUCAUGAAUGUGUCCAGAAACUGAGAGGUUUUGGCAUAUUCCAGUGGUCACCAAUUAUAAGAACAACAGCAGCAUCGGAUCACAUUCACCUAAUAUUACAGUUAUUAUUUUUAGGAAAGUGGAAAGAUCUGCUCCAAGAGUAGCUGUCUUAAUACAAAUGAUUCUUAAGUCACAGAGAAGUUAAAAAUGACUUCUAACAUGAUGGUGUCUAUACAAUACAAUACAAGACAAAAACUUUACUGAUCCCCAAAGGGAAAUUUAUUAGAUGUGAAUCCCAAGAGUACAAAAGAAAAAUGUUACAUGCCCCAGGUUUGGUAAACCUGAUGUAUGGUACUAUAUUAGUCAAAUAAUUCAAUAAAAUCAUAUAGACUCAAAAUCUCAGCCUUUAUGAUACCAAGACAACCUUCUGCAGAGUCCAUAGCAACACAAUAAACUGCUAUUGUUGUGGAGAUAUAGAGUGAGUAAGGUCAAACUUCCAUGUGGUCUCUCUUGCCUCCACUAACUCUUUCACCAGGUAACCUGAUGCCUAAGCUUCCCAUCUGCUCGGCCACAGUGGCCUGAUACACUCAACUCAGGAGCUUAGAAAGUGUGAUUCAUGAAUGAUGACUGCAGAGUCUGACUCACAGACAGUAGACAAAUCCAACGACUGCUCAUAUUUUAAAAUAGUCUAUGCUUUUUCUAACCAAGACCGUGAAACUUUCCCCUGCAAAGAUAGAAUGACUGUGAGCACUUGUCUAAAAAUACAGUUGCACGUCAUGAACUUAUGAGGAGUACUUAAGUUAAACCAAUUGAGAGUAUGAUUUCCAGCUCUCCCACACUUUGUUCAAUGCCGAGGGAUUGCACAGUGCACUAAAUUUCUUCUGCUAACAUUUUAAACCCUUGAACUCUAACAUUUGUUGGUUUUCACCCAUGCGAUUGUGGUGUUAUAAUUUUUGUGUUGCUCCAGUCGGCAAUCUUUAUCUAUGCAUAUUUCUUCUAAGUGAUCUAGCUAGCUUCAUAUGAACUUGUUGUGACAUCAACAUGAACUUGCAACAGCUAGUUGGUAACUACAGCUGUGCAAGAAGAACCAAGUGGUGGCCACUAGUGUUGUGUCCCAUGGCAUGAUGAACUCUGGUGUUGACCAGUGUGUCUGGCCACUGUUACCCUGCUUUACUGACUGUAUGUAUGGCAUAAGGUAGGUUAGAGUGGUCCUGGAAUUUGUAUGUAAGCCUUAUUUAGUGUGAUGUCUAGGAGCACUUUAAGGCCCUGCUUAUACAUACCCAGUUAUUUUUAAAAACUGACACAUUAGCCAUCGUAUGUACCCUUCAUGUAGACCGAACAGAGAAUUCACCUCUGAAAACGAUGCUUUUUAAAAACUCUGGCUAGAGUAGAGAUUUCGGGAACGCUGGGGACACUGGAAGGGACGCUGUUGUUGUUGAUGCUAUGCGAGAUUCUGAUUGGCUAACGUGGGCUUCAGCAUCUUGCUACACUGCCACCCACAUGCUUCGUAUGUUCUAGAUGACAUAUAUACACAGGUUAGUGAAAACGAAACCUUUUCUGAAAACGUAGCUGUGUGCACACAGUUUUUUUUUUUAAAACAGCGAGGGUGAAAUGUCCAUUUAUGAAAAUAGCCAGGCACGUGUAAACGUACUCUGAAACAGCCACAGAGAGAUAACUCACCAGCAAGGAGAACAGGGCCCGGUGAGGGGUCCGGUGUCUUAAAUUGUCUUCUGAUUGGGAGAUUGAAGGGGAGAGUGGCCAGAUGACAUGUUGCUGUCAGAUCCUAAGAUGAAUGGAGGCCCUGAAUGGGACAUCCAUCUACCAUAAAUUGAAACAUACAGUAUAAAUGCUCUGGCAACUAAUUUAUGGUAACAUCAAACAUGCCUCACUGAAGUUGCUCUAACUUGCAAUUCCACAGGCACUUCUGGCUCCUACAAUAACAGUGCAUACAUGAUGUGAAAGUUUCCUUACAUUAAGUAUGAUGGCAGCUCAAGUUUUGGUAUUUUUAUAUGGAAUCCCAACAGGGUGAGGUAAGCCUCCGAUGUGUUAUUUUAUCCUGUUAGGAUUUUAGUUUGCAGAAGAAAAAGAAAACUUUUCAACAAUAUGCACUUUUCUGCUAAAAAUAAGUUCAAAUCAAAAUUUCCCCACUCUACAGUUUCCAACACCCACAUACACAAAACUACAAAAUCAUUAAUAAUAAAAUCAUUAUGAUACUUAUAAUAAUGUGGUGCUGAUGUGCCAAAAGAUUAAGUAUCUCCUUAUUUGAGAAACCUAUAUUAAGGUACAUUUCUACAAAGUGCUUCAUGGCUCUCGUUUCAACUAUUGUCCUCUUAAAGACAGGUUAGAGUACAAGGACUUUAUUCUGACUUUACCCUCGUAAGUGAUUACUCAACUAUGACUUUAUUCUCGUAAGUAAUGAUUUAACUACAACUUUAUUCUCGUAAGUCAUGAUUUUAGUAUGACUUUAUUCUCGUUAUUACAUUUUUACGACUUUAUUCUCGUUAGUAAUGACUUUAUUCUCAUAAGUUAAUGACUUUAAUCUCCAAGUCUUCUUUUUUUUUCUCAAUGUGGCCCUAACACUCCGUCGUACAAAACAUCUUAAUUGUUUAUCUUUUUUUUCUUUCCCCUUUUCUUUAUUUUUUGAAACAGAGUUAUUCAAAUGUUGCACAGACACUUUUCCUAAACAAGGACCAAACAGUUCCUGAAUGAGCCUGGUCUGAAAUGACCAGUGGCCGGUGGCAACCAGUGUAGAGAACUGCCUUGCCUCAUUGAACCACUUAUUUACAUGGUGUUGUUAUAUGCUUACUUGUAGCACAAAAUCAUUUUUUUAAAGAAGGUAGUGGUAUAUUGUGAUGGCCCUUAUCAGAGUCAUCUGAUUUGAUACUUCUCCUUUUAACAAUUGUCAUUUUCUAUUUAAAUUUUGUGCUGUGAAGUAAACGUAAGCUUUACUCUUAGCUUGAUCAUUGAUGUCACACGGGUGGUAAUCGCUUUAAAUGUUUCAUACAGGAAAAGCCCUCAGACUGUCCUCCCCUCUGUUUGAAGCCGUGUCAGCUCAUUUCUGUCUCUGUGUCAGAUGGUUUUCUCAUUUACUGCGCCCACCUGCCAGAGAGUGCAAAAAGAAGACUUCAGCCAUCAAGCCAGAGCGGAAAGCCCAAGGAUGGAGGAGUACUGAGGCCCCUGGGAGGCCGUCAUCCUCGGGUUACCCCGCUGAACAUAACUCUCAGUUUGGACAAAAGAGACUGAUUAAAGCCAGAUAUGAGGAAGCCACAGUCAGACAGAGGCUGGAGGGCUGACAGGAACAGAGAGGAACUUAAGUGAACUUUAUGUAAAUUUUCGAGCAGUAAAGUGGUAAUGAAUGAAACGUAUCAUUUUGUUAAGUGCCGCUCAAGAAACCGAAACCAGAUGUUUCCUCCAGUUGCUACCCAAAAAAAAAGGAAUU
rnacentral:lncRNA from 1 species